GAAAUUCUCACUCCCCCAAUUCCUAAAAAAAAUCAAGAAAAAACUUGGCCAUACUAGGUGUUUUGAGCCAAUCCAAUUUGUGUCAAAAAUAAAGUAGUCUCCGAUAUUAUUGAACUAAAAACAGUUCUCUCUCUCUUACAAGACAACUAUCCAUACAUUUUUUUUAAACUCCAAAUGGGAGAUGGAUAGGUUAAUUCCACACCCCAAAAGAGAAUAUUAUACAAUCCCUCAGUACAAUAUUAAUCCAUCAAUUGCAUUUGGGUAACUCAGCAUUAAUUCUUUGUGUUUUUUACCUCAUUACUCCAUUGUCUCUUAAUUCACAUUAUUGCAUUGUCAACUAAAGAUCUUCCUUCAAAUAACCUUUCCUUUGCCUUUCUUGCCUGCAACAUUCCAAAGCAUAACACAUGUAUGACCAAAAUUUCUUGCAGCAUCCAAAGCAGCUGUUUAAGGCUAUGGAUUGGAUAACUCACCUGUCUUUUCCAAUCUGUGCAGCUUGUUACAAUAGCAAGUAGAACUGUUUGUGUAAAGGCACCAACUUGUAUUCCAAUCCAAAGGCCCCUUCCUCUUAACUUCACCCAGAAUCCCAAUAUUGCAGCAACUGGAAUCCCACAUAGAUAGAAGGCCCCCAGGUUUAUAUAAGCUCCUAUGUGCUGCCAUCCAGACCCCCUUGCAACUCCUGAAAGCACCCCUUGUAAGCUGUCCAAUAUUACUGACAGACAAACCAGAGGAGCCAUAGUUGUGACAUAAUCCACUACUUCCUUUUCGUUGCUGAAAACAUAACCGAAAACGCGGCGGCUGGCAAAGAGGGUAGCACUGAAUACAGUCGUCUCCACAAUUACAAGAAACAACACAGCAUAAACAGCAAUACGUGCUGCUUGUGGGUUUCCUGCUCCUAAUUCAUUUGAGACUCUA
rnacentral:misc_RNA from 1 species